GAGCCACUGAAUCCAACUUGGUUGAUGAGUGAGAUACCCUUAUACCCUCAAAGUGAGAUAAUUUAGCUUGGUCCGUGAUCCCUUGUGGUCUGGUCAUCUAUUGUUUUUGCCUUUAUGAUUCUUUGAAUCGUUUUAAAGGAGCGAUGAUCUUUACCCUUUGAUUCAUACUUCUUCGGAAGGUUUAUCCUUGGGUGGGUAUAAGUGGCUGUCUGACAAGUU